GGUGAAAAUGCUAAGCAGAGUCUGACGUGAGACUGAAGAAAUACCUGUGUCCAGGCAGUGAUAAGUAGGAUUGCUGGGAGGGUGAAUGCAUUAGUCACUGUUCCGGUGAACUACAGGGAUGGCUGUUGUCAGCUCAAUGUGGUCUUGUAUGUCACCCCCUUGAGACUGCCCAGAGUAUUCCAGUGAGAUCACCAGUCCUAACUGAAGUUCAUGAUGGGACCAUCUAACUGAGGAGACAGUAUUCCAGCAACUUUUCCAGCAUGAGUCCUUCCCUGCAGUUCUUCACAAACUGCUCCAGAGUGGGUUCCUUCCACAGGGUCAGUCCUUCAGGAACAGCCUGCUCCAACAUGGGUCCCCCACAGGGUCACAAGUCCUGCCAGCAAACCUGCUCUAUCCUGGGAUCUGGUCUCCACAGAUUCUACCAGGACCCUGCUCCAGCACAGGCUUCUCUUGGAGUCACAGCCUCCUUCAGACAUCCCCAUGCUCUGGUAUGGGCUCCUCCAGGGGGCUGCAGGUGGAUCUCUGCACCACUCUGGGCUUCAGGGGCUCAGCCACUUCUCUGUGGGCUGCACCACAGAAUCUCAGGGAAAUCCCAGCUCUGGAGCCUGGAGCAGCUCCUGCCCCUCCUUCUACCCUGGGUGUCUGCAGAGCUGUUCCUCUCAUGUGUUCUCGCCCCAUUCUUCUCUGUACCCAAUUAUUGCUGCGCAAAAACUUUUUUGUUGUUGUUGUUCCUAAAUCCAUUAUUCCCUAGGUGUCACCAUCUUUUCUGCUAGGUUUAACUUUGACAAGUGGCAUGUCUGUCCUGGAGCCUGGGCUGGCAUUGGCUCUGCUGGACAAGGGGGAAGCUUCUGGGAGCUUCUCACAGAAGCCACCCCUGUAGCCCUCCCUCCACUACCAACACCUGGACACACAGACCAAAAUCAGGAAGGGGCAAGUGCUGCAGCCCUGCAGUGUCUGGUAUCACCUCCCCAGGAGAGAGCUGAGAUUCAGCCUUGUUGGCCUGGGCCAGACCGGUGCAAAUAUUCUAUUUGUACAACUGAAUUUGAGGAGAAUGGAAGAGGGAAAAUAACUAGACAUUUUAGAGCAGAGAAUGAAAGAUUGACUUAAUAAACAGAAUUGUGACAUAAUACUGUAAUAUAUCCAGAGGGUCUCUAUGCCUCCUUUGUAUUACCACCCACAAAGUUUGUUUGCAGCUGUGUGGCACCAUCUGCAGACCAACUGAAGGAUGUGUCAUGCCACUGAAAUCUGUUGUUUCAAGACUUGAAAUUGCAUCUAUUGUUUGAUAUUUGACCACAUUUGUAGUUCCUGAAUUAUUCUGUUGACAUUUCAAGAACUGGAUGGUGUUUCUAAGUAAAAGUGAAUCCAUCAACCCUAAACCCUAGUGAAGUCAGAGCACUUCACUUUUAGUCAAAUAAAAUAGUAUCAUUCCUUGUCA